GGCAUUGUGAAAGUUCAUCCGCUGGAGGAGUCUGGAAGAUCCUGUGGAAGUCCGAUUGGCAUUGUUGAAGUCUGGCUAGCGCUAUUGAAGUUCGGCUGACGCUAUUGAAGGUUGAUGGCUGGAGAGGUACGGAAGACACUAGAGACGGUCGAUCGUUGUAGAAAUCCAACUGCUGGAGCCUGUCCGCUGUAGAAGUUCGUCCGAAAUCCAUCCGCUAUGGAAGUUCAGAUGGAGUCCGAUUCUUGUAGAAGUCUAGAUGG
rnacentral:lncRNA from 1 species